GUGAGGAAUCUUCCACAAUGGGCGAAAGCCUGAUGGAGCAACGCCGCGUGAAGGAUGAAGGUCUUCGGAUUGUAAACUUCUUUUAUGAGUGAAGAAUAUGACGGUAACUCAUGAAUAAGCACCGGCUAACUACGUGCCAGCAGCCGCGGUCAUACGUAGGGUGCAAGCAUUAUCCGGAGUGACUGGGCGUAAAGAGUUGCGUAGGCGGUUAUGUAAGCGAAUAGUGAAACCUGGUGGCUCAACCACACAGACUAUUAUUCGAACUGCAUAACUCGAGAAUGGUAGAGGUAACUGGAAUUUCUUGUGUAGGAGUGAAAUCCGUAGAUAUAAGAAGGAACACCAAUGGCGUAGGCAGGUUACUGGGCCAUUUCUGACGCUAAGGCACGAAAGCGUGGGGAGCGAACCGGAUUAGAAACCCUUGUAGUCC
rnacentral:rRNA from 1 species